rnacentral:rRNA from 1 species
AUGAGGCAUAUAUGUCAACUAUGGGUUGGCUCCCACAAUUCGCAUUGGUCUCAAAUCAAUGACAUGCAUUUCGAUGAGCAUGAGUUCGAGGUGGACGAGGAUGGUGAGGGCAUUGUCGACGCACCGAAAGGAAGAGGAGGCAACUAGACCAACGAAGAAGACGUCUUACUAUGCAAUACUUGGUUGCAAGGGUCGAGGGAUCCAUCCGUUGGAGGUGAUCAAAGUAGAGAUGCUUAUUGGAACCGGAUGAAGGAGCACUUUGAUCUACACAACAAGAGUGGAAUUGACCGCUCCGACCGAUAUCUUCGCUCCCGGUGGUCGACAAUCAACAAAGAUUGUCAGAAGUGGGCGGCCGCACAAAAGGCGGUUGACAAGUUGAACCCAAGUGGCAGAACUUUGCAUUUUAUCAGCACGAUCGUGGCUUGGUGA